GCUCAGGACGAACGCUGGCGGCGUGCCUAAUACAUGCAAGUCGAGCGGACUUGCUGGAGCUUGCUCCAGCAGGUUAGCGGCGGACGGGUGAGUAACACGUGGGCAACCUGCCUGUAAGACUGGGAUAACUCCGGGAAACCGGAGCUAAUACCGGAUAGUAUCUUGAACCGCAUGGUUCAAGCUGGAAAGACGGUUUCGGCUGUCACUUACAGAUGGGCCCGCGGCGCAUUAGCUAGUUGGUGAGGUAAUGGCUCACCAAGGCAACGAUGCGUAGCCGACCUGAGAGGGUGAUCGGCCACACUGGGACUGAGACACGGCCCAGACUCCUACGGGAGGCAGCAGUAGGGAAUCUUCCGCAAUGGACGAAAGUCUGACGGAGCAACGCCGCGUGAGUGAUGAAGGUUUUCGGAUCGUAAAACUCUGUUGUCAGGGAAGAACAAGUGCGAGAGUAACUGCUCGCAC
rnacentral:rRNA from 2 species